GAAACCAACAGGGAUUGCCCUAGUAACGGCGAGUGAAGCGGCAACAGCUCAAAUUUGAAAUCUGGCCCUUGGGUCCGAAUUGUAAUUUGUAGAGGAUGUUUUUGGUGCGGUAUCUUCCGAGUUCCUUGGAACAGGACGCCUUAGAGGGUGAGAGCCCCGUACGGUUGAAUGCCUAGCCUUUGUAAAACUCCUUCGACGAGUCGAGUAGUUUGGGAAUGCUGCUCUAAAUGGGAGGUAAAUUUCUUCUAAAGCUAAAUACUGGCCAGAGACCGAUAGCGCACAAGUAGAGUGAUCGAAAGAUGAAAAGCACUUUGAAAAGAGGGUUAAAUAGCACGUGAAAUUGUUGAAAGGGAAGGAUUUAUGACCAGACUUUUUCUAGGCGGAUCAUCCGGUGUUCUCACCGGUGCACUUCGUUUAGUUUAGGCCAGCAUCGAUUUUCGGUGGGGGAUAAAAGCUUUAGGAAUGUGGCUCUUCGGAGUGUUAUAGCCUAUUGUAUAAUACCCUGCUGGGGAUCGAGGUACGCGCUUCUGCAAGGAUGCUGGCGUAAUGGUUAUCAAUCACCCGUCUUGAAACACGGACCAAGGAGUCGAACAUUUGUGCAAGUGUUUGGGUGUUAAACCCUCACGCGUAAUGAAAGUGAACGGAGGUGAGAGCCCUUACGGGUGCAUCAUCGACCGAUCCUGAUGUUUUCGGAUGGAUUUGAGUAAGAGCAUAACUGUUCGGACCCGAAAGAUGGUGAACUAUGCGUGGAUAGGGUGAAGCCAGAGGAAACUCUGGUGGAGGCUCGCAGCGGUUCUGACGUGCAAAUCGAUCGUCAAAUCUGCGCAUGGGGGCGAAAGACUAAUCGAACCAUCUAGUAGCUGGUUACCG
rnacentral:rRNA from 1 species